rnacentral:lncRNA from 1 species
CCCAAUUUUUGAUCCAGUGGAAGAGUGAGACGUGACAGUCAGCUGACGGAGGAUGAAAGGCCACCUAUGUUACCCACAAAGCAGGUGCUGAAGAGUCCUCACACUGACUCCUAGAACAGGUUCCUCACCCUGUAGGCUCUGCCAAGGCCUGAGUAUGAUGCUGUGGGUGAUUCACUGCCCAGAAGAUGAUGAGGGCCUGGGUCAGGACCAGCCUGGACUAUAAGAAGAUAGAAUCCAGUGCAUUCUACACAAUAUGAAUGAAUAAGAGAGUGAAGAAAGUUGCUCAGUGAAUCUGCUACAGCAGGAGAACUUUUUCUGUGCUGUAUGGAGCACCUCAUGCUACUUCACCAAGGCUGACGUCAUGUGGAAAAUGGCCAGUGAUUUUCGUGUCCACCCUGGAGUGUGAAAAGAAACGUCAAUUCAGGCUAGACCAAAGAAACCACCCACAAGGAGUCCCUGGAUAUGAAGUGUCAAAGGCACGUUCUGUAACUGAGAACCAUCACUGAGGAAUUCAGCAAAGUGACAAAACCUUGGUUGCAUCUCUCAUACAUCUGUCAAAAACUAUGGUGGCUAGAAGA